ensembl:lncRNA
AUUUUAUUACAUUUGUUUAUUGGUGUUUUGUAUUCUUGGCAGUGGGUCCAGGCCAAGGCCGGACUGUCUCCUGAACUCGCCGUUUAACAGAUCCGGAGAUUGGAGGGAUGAGAGAGUGGGCAGAAACGGUUAAGGUAGGAGAGGUUGGGGCAGGGCUGGUUAAGGUAGGAGAGGUUGAGGCAGGAAUUUUUAAGGUAGGGGAGGUUGGGGCAGGGCUGGUUAAGUCAGGGGAGGUUGAGGCAGGGCUGGUUUGUGAUGGCUGGGUGGAAUGGGUUGUGAUUACCGGUAAUGGGAAUGGGGAAAAUAAGAAAUCAAAGUGUGGUGCAGUAGGUGAUAUUAAUGUGAGGGGACUGGACAUGGAGGCUGAUGGUGUUCCCAGAGGAAGGGUGGGGGAGGCACUGACAGUUCUUGAACUCACAGGCGUCUGGUGUUCUAGGGCGACUGACCCAGAGACAGAGAGCUGCCGAAGCGCCUCCCCUUCCCCCAGGCGAUCCUUCUCCAUCUUGAGGCGCUCCCUCUCCACCUGCAGGCGCUCUGUCUCCACCCUCAAGCGCUCUCUAUCCAGCUGGAGCCGGUUCUUCUCCACAUCCAGGUGUGCCUUCUGUGUUUCAUGUGCUUUUUCUAAUAAAUCAUAAAGAGCUUGGUGGAUGUGCUGGGCGGUCUGUGUAACAUGGAUUUGUUGCGUUUGUGUCUCCAGGAUUUGUUGGAGCAGAUUGGCUUGGGGGCCUUGUGGUGUCCAGCCAGACGUGAUGGGUUGGGGUGUAGAGUCAGAGUGGAUGGAGUGAGCUGGUGCAGGACAGGAGGUGAUGGGUUGGGGAGCAAAGCCAGAGUGGAUGGAAUGAGCUGGUGCAGGACAGGAGGUGAUGGGUUGGGGAGCAAAGCCAGAGUGGAUGGAAUGAGCUGGUGCAGGACAGGAGGUGAUGGGUUGGGGAGCAAAGCCAGAGUGGAUGGAAUGAGCUGGUGCAGGACAGGAGGUGAUGGGUUGGGGUGGCACUGUUGGUGCUGGCCAAGGUGUUGAUGGUGAGGUGGAGGGUAGCUCCUCCAUGGUGACAGAGGGUAAAGCUGCCUCCACAGUUCCCUCUGCUGCUGGUGGGGGACCAGAGCUGGAGAUUUCUCCCUGAGAGAGACCUGGAC